AACUGAAGAGUUUGAUCAUGGCUCAGAUUGAACGCUGGCGGCAGGCUUAACACAUGCAAGUCGAGCGGAGAGAGGUAGCUUGCUACUGAUCUUAGCGGCGGACGGGUGAGUAAUGCUUAGGAAUCUGCCUAUUAGUGGGGGACAACAUUUCGAAAGGAAUGCUAAUACCGCAUACGUCCUACGGGAGAAAGCAGGGGAUCUUCGGACCUUGCGCUAAUAGAUGAGCCUAAGUCGGAUU
rnacentral:rRNA from 1 species